CGAUAGCGUAUAUUUAAGUUGUUGCAGUUAAAACGCUCGUAGUUGAACUAAUGGUCUUUCUAUCAGUACUACGGUACAAUAGAUAGACAGGAGGUUUUCGAGACCUCAAUUACUUUGAGCAAAACAUAGUGUUUCGAGCGGGUAUUUCUGCUGACAUGUCUUACCAUGGUAUAAUCCUGAAAGGUCAUCAUACAGGUAUCAGUGCUGUGAUGAUGAUUCGUGGUUGAUAGGAACAGUUCCGAGGGCGUUUGUACUGGACAGUCAGAGGUGAAAUUCAAUAAUUUGUCUGAGACAAACUAAAGCGAAAGCAUUCGCCAUGGAUGUUUUCAAUUGA
rnacentral:rRNA from 1 species